UCAAUCAAGGGGUGCCCUAAUAUCACGGGCUGAGAUCAUACCCAUCGGCAAGCAAUUGUCGAGCACCUGAUCCGGGUAAUGCCGGCGUAGGGAAUUUCUGCUUGUUCUCC
rnacentral:ncRNA from 15 species